rnacentral:lncRNA from 1 species
GCGAGUGAGUCACCUUUAACAGUGGUCCGGAAGCUUGGCCAUUUGAAGAGUAAAUGGUGAGUCUUUAUAUUGUUGGUGAGAGAAGGUUUUUCUAUCCUGGAACUCGCAGUGCAGGCCAAACUGGCCUUAAACUCAGAUCUGCUUCAGCCGUGGUUGCUGAGACUAAAGGUAUGAACCAAGCUCCCAAACUGUUUUUACUCGGAAAACUGUCAAACUUUUUUUUUUACCUUGAACAAUCUAGGAAGUUAUAUACAUAUACACCCGUAUACAUAUGGAUAGACAUGGCAGUUUCUGAGCAUCCACUUGUAUUUUAGAUUUGUUUGUUUGAGCUACCUUCUACAUUUGGCACCUGGUUCCUUUCCUUUAGAGUUUCAGUGACUUCUGCCAGCUACUCGCAGAUCCCAGCCUUCACUCUUCACCCUGGGUCUGGACUUCAUGCCCUGUUGCCUGCUUUAUGGCUCCUCCCACCACACAUCUGCCACCGCUGACUCCUGAUAACUAGUAUUUUUCUGGGCACUUGCAGCAUUAUCAAAGAUGCAGCAGCUCCAAGGUGAGGUAUCAAUAUUGUGCUUGCUUUAUAAACCUUGUCAUUGAGGUGUCUUAUUAGGUGAAGGUGCUUGCUGCCAAGCAUGAAGACCCGAGUCCAGUCAAGAUCCUACCCACCUGGUGGAAGGAAAGAAGCAACCCCACAGCUUCUGACUUCCAUACAGGCACUAAGGUGCGCACACAAUAUUUUUAAGGAAAAAAAUUGGUGCAGGGGUGAAAUGGUCAAGACGGGGUCCACAUGUGUCCAGCUGUCUGCAAGUUGUCGUGUCCUCCUAGCUGCUGCGCUGUCCCCUGAGUGCUGACACCUAUCUUGUCCCCGUUUCCAGUAAGUGAAAUAGUGACACAUUUUCCUGAGCAUUCUGCACAUGUCACAGCUGGUCGAGACCCACGGUGAUGCAUUCCCCAUUAUCCCCGCACUUAGGUAGAGGCAGGAGAAUCGGGUGUUCAAUGUCAACCCUGACUACGUGAGACCUUGUCUCCAAAGACGACCCACACACACACACAACUCAGCAACCUGAUGACCUGUUCAUUGUGUAGAUGAGAAGACACACCCAGCAGCUUUCCCCGCGGGUGCAAUUGCAGUGAAGCAGGAUGCUGUGGGGACCCAUUCGCAGAAUCCUAAGCACAGGCUUGUUUCUAUGAAAUGCUACACCCUCCUCGAGCCAUGCUUCAAGACUAAUCAUUCACCUGGGAUUUACCUACUCACUGUGAGCUCACCCUCCUGUCUUUCAUCUUGGCCACAGUCCUCUUGGUACCUCUGCCCCAGUUUGCCUUCCUCUAAGUCCCUUCAGGGUAAAAACUGCUACCCAGGGCUGGGGUAGAGCUCAGUACCUGUGGUAAAAGCGUGUGGUAAACUCCCAGGGGCAGGGGACGACCCCCCACCCCCCAAUUGGGAAACUAUGGAGCUUCCUCCGAGGGAUUUCCUUCUCCGAACUGGCCAGCCAGCACAUGGCUGCUUGGGCUCCUGCCUUCCCUCCUGACAGGCCUGGGCUGAGGAGGGUGGGAGGAAGCAAUUCACCCAUCUGUGCUUCCAAGUAUGUGAGCACUCUAAAAGACUCAACAAGUGGUUCUGUAGUUAGAUGUAGAACUCACUUUAAUUCUUUAGAAUUCCCAACAGAAAAUUAGCUUAACUAGAAGUAACUUUUUGGUUUUUAUUUUAACUGGAAGUAGCUUUUUUUUCUUUAUUUUUUCUUUAUUUUUUCUUAUUUUUUUAAGAGAGUCUCGUUAGCCAUGUAUGGCCUAGAACUUGCUAUGUACACCAGGAUGGCCUCACAGAGAUCUGCCUGCCUCUCUGGAGUGUUUGGAUUAAAGGCUUUUGCCUUUAAAAAAAAAAAAAGAUUUUAAAGGUGCCAGUUAUUAGACUCUCAGGCCCCAUGACUGUGGGGAACAGUUUGGACUACACUGUCACCUUACACAGGUCUUGUGAAUGCCAUGCCACAGACUGAGAACAGAAAGUUUCCCAGCAUCUGAAUGUCACUAAUCAUUUGCAAUUUCUAGGUUAGCUUAAUAAUGGCAUUUCUCCUAACAACUGGAAUUUAGCUUCAGGUCCAUUUAUAAAUCAGGCUGUAAGAUCUGGAUUUGGAUAUCUUAGAAGCAAAGAAGAGUCUGAGAGAUGUUACUCUUUUGUCUCACCAAUGAUCAGAGCCAUGAAACUAAAGGAGUCCAUUUUAGAAUUCUGCUUUUAGAGUCUUUACAAUGAAGAGAACUGAUAAGGGUCAGCCAGUCCUGGGUGCUGGCUUAAGAGUCAGUCAAAGGGAGAGACUCGCUCUCUGCUCACUUCUGCCUGCAGCAGUUAUAAUUUUCUAUACCAAACUUUACUUAUAUAAUAAAAACUAUCAACAUUUGCAAAC